GUCUCCAAGUAAUUAUGCCCAAAAAACACAACAGAAGAAAAACAAGGGGACUUUAUGAGUGGGUUAAUAAGCCACUCUCUGCUGAAAGCUCACAGAUCGACUCCAGGACAAAGAUCCUGCUCACAUCGAGAUGACAACGUGAAUGGCUCCAUCAUUUCUUUUGCCCCCCAGAAGAUACUGAUACAUUUAAUGGGAUUGCUUUGUCUCCCAAGACCUGAUGUAACGUGACAAGAAAGUGUGACAACAACAAUGCACCUUUGCUUCUCAACCCCUCCCACGCAGUCGCAGUUCUCUUCUUGUCUUCUUCUAUCUCACUUGUGAGGAAAAUAUCACCUGAGGACUCACCUUUCAAAUGCUGGAAAAAACGCUCACAACCUUGACAGAAGCUCUAAACAUUUUUGCGCCCCUUUAAAUAUUAGGCUUUGUGUGAGCGGGAAAUCUUGGAGGCAGCCACCAAAGAGCCUGAGGGCAAACAUGCAAACCUUGAUUAACUUGUGUAGCGCCAUUUCUUUUCUCCGGGAAAUAACUUACUCUGCUGGCUCAUACAGUAGAUUUCUAUACGUAUCACCUUGUAUGUCUAUGUUGUAUUCUUACAUCAAUUUGUAACAGAACAGGGAGAACAGUUUGCUAAAGGGAAAUGUGAGAAUCAACAUUGCAGCGUUAUUGAGUGAAGGCGCGAUUAGGGCUGCACGAUUUUGAAAACUAUAACUAAAUGUGAUUAUUUUGACUAUUGCAAUUGUAUAUGAUUUGACAAAGGGAAUGAUCACUGUUUGAACUUUGAACACACUAUCAAUGAACAAAAUGAUCAUGGUGGGAAGGUGGGACUCCUCUGCAGCAUCAAAAUACUGUAAUUACUAAUAUUAAUACUAAUAAUUAAGAGACCGCUUCAGCAUUAUCAUUUUCUCUUGUUUU